rnacentral:rRNA from 1 species
UACAGAGGGGGCAAGCGUUGUUCGGAAUUACUGGGCGUAAAGGGCGCGUAGGCGGCCUGUUAAGUCGAACGUGAAAUCCCCGGGCUCAACCCGGGAACUGCGUCCGAUACUGGCAGGCUUGAAUCCGGGAGAGGGAUGCGGAAUUCCAGGUGUAGCGGUGAAAUGCGUAGAUAUCUGGAGGAACACCGGUGGCGAAGGCGGCGAUCCUGGACCGGUAUUGACGCUGAGGCGCGAAAGCCAGGGGAGCAAACAGGG